AGCUCCUCCCUUCUGGAGUAUUUGGCCAUUCCAGCACCCGCUUUAUCUCCAGUGAUCUCUGACCCCUGCAUGUCAGGAGUUCAAUCUGACACCAGAGCUCCUGGCUGCCUACUGACUCCUCAACUUCAUUUAAGGGAAGUGAGCAAGGGAACCGAUGAAAAUCAAGAUGCCUGAGGAUUUAGGAUAGGAAGAUCAGCAGCAUGUCUUGUGGAGGAAAUGGACUGUUUGUGUCAAUCCUUUUCAGGAUGCUUUGGGGUGCAAUGUCUUGGUCACCCUUUAAACAGGGGGAUCUGGUUAAAAAUUGCUUUGUCUGCACAGAAGAGCCCUGGAGAUAUUGUAGAAGAGGCACCUGAUUUCUCUCC